UACAGAGGUCUCAAGCGUUGUUCGGAUUCAUUGGGCGUAAAGGGUGCGUAGGUGGCGGGGUAAGUCUGGUGUGAAAGCUCCGAGCUCAACUCGGAAAAGCAUUGGAAACUAUCCCGCUGGAGGGUCGGAGGGGAGACUGGAAUUCUCGGUGUAGCAGUGAAAUGCGUAGAUAUCGAGAGGAACACCAGUGGCGAAGGCGAGUCUCUGGACGACUCCUGACACUGAGGCACGAAAGCUAGGGGAGCAAACAGG
rnacentral:rRNA from 1 species